UCUAAGAAAGGUUCCUCACAUCUCCAGGAAAGGAGCUGCUUCCCCCAAAGUUGCCUUUUCUAGUUGCCUGGGUCCGCUCUGCCGACCUCAACCAAGCUAAUUACUGGUCAGCGAGUGGCCACUUUGAACUAGUCACACACCAGAGGCCCUCUGAGGAUCUCGUUGGCUAGGCGACUGUUUUCAUAUGUUGCCUAUUCUGUUUACCUGUGGCAAAGGGCUCAUUCUCUCCCUCACUUGAGGCAGAGCAGGAAGGAAGCCAGGAACACGGGUUCUUCUGACAAGGCUGACCAGCAAGAGGUCUCCUGAAGAAAUGAAAUUCGGCUGCUGUUAUUCAGAAAAGAGACAGCAUGGGGAAUGAAGGGCAAGGAACAGUCUCCUGCGACAGAGAAGUCUUCACCCGCCAUUGAGAGACCCUGGAUAGGACCAGUCACAUGAGCCGAUCUGACCACCAAGGCGUAGGGAGGUGUGGUCUUCCCAAGGGCCCAGAAGAGGAGAACCUGAAGCCUUGUUCCUAGAAGUCUCACCGCCAGUUAGCUCUGAGGAGCUGGGUGGCAAAGCCAUGAGGCAACAGAGUAACAGAUGCCAUUAAUACUAUUGUGAUUUGCUUCCUGCAUUUGUAACUGAAAGAUAUGCCGGAUUUCUAUUUGAGGUUUGUGAAAAGAAAGAUAUAUUUUAUUGUUUAAUAAAAACAAAUACAGGGGUGCCUGCAUGACUCAGUGGGUUAAGCCCCUGCCUUCGGCCCAGAUCAUGAUCUCAGGGUCCUGGGAUCGAGCCCCGCGAUCCAGCCCCACGUCGGGCUCUCUGCUCACCAGAGGACCUGCUUCCCCCUCUCUCUCUCUCUGCCUGCUGCUCUGCCUACUUGUGAUCUCUGUCUGUCAAAUAAAUAAAAUCUUUAAAAAAUAAAAAUAAAAACAAAUACAGAUUUUAUUGUUCAUGGAAAUAAACACAUAUUUUUCCUGCCAUGUUCAUGGAUGCCUUGAAUUUUAUGCCCUCUUGGUGGUCCUUGGGCCACAGAUUGAGAGCUUCUGACCACAGGGCUCCAGACAGAGGCCAAAACGGUUUUCUGAGCAGGAUAACAGUGAGUGAAGCAGAAACAGAAACAUUUUAUUAUUCGAAGACUAAGCAAUAAACAGUGAUUAAUACCCAAGGCAAAGGAGCUCAUUAGCUUGGUUCUUACCUUGUAGCACUCCAAGCACGAAGAGAAGAGGUAAGUUUGGGCACAGAAUUUAAAGUCUGCUGAGGAUACUGAAUUAGGACAAAAAGCAUCAGCCCACUGGAGUGGAACAGCCAGCGCGCAUUGU